rnacentral:rRNA from 1 species
GAUUAAGUUAUUAAGGGCGCACGGUGGAUGCCUUGGCACUAGAAGCCGAUGAAGGACGUUACUAACGACGAUAUGCUUUGGGGAGCUGUAAGUAAGCUUUGAUCCAGAGAUUUCCGAAUGGGGAAACCCAGCAUGAGUUAUGUCAUGUUAUCGAUAUGUGAAUACAUAGCAUAUCAGAAGGCACACCCGGAGAACUGAAACAUCUUAGUACCCGGAGGAAGAGAAAGAAAAUUCGAUUCCCUUAGUAGCGGCGAGCGAAACGGGAAGAGCCCAAACCAACAAGCUUGCUUGUUGGGGUUGUAGGACACUCUAUACGGAGUUACAAAGGACGACAUUAGACGAAUCAUCUGGAAAGAUGAAUCAAAGAAGGUAAUAAUCCUGUAGUCGAAAAUGUUGUCUCUCUUGAGUGGAUCCUGAGUACGACGGAGCACGUGAAAUUCCGUCGGAAUCUGGGAGGACCAUCUCCUAAGGCUAAAUACUCUCUAGUGACCGAUAGUGAACCAGUACCGUGAGGGAAAGGUGAAAAGCACCCCGGAAGGGGAGUGAAAUAGAACCUGAAACCGUGUGCUUACAAGUAGUCAGAGCCCGUUAAUGGGUGAUGGCGUGCCUUUUGUAGAAUGAACCGGCGAGUUACGAUUUGAUGCAAGGUUAAGCAGUAAAUGUGGAGCCGUAGCGAAAGCGAGUCUGAAUAGGGCGUUUAGUAUUUGGUCGUAGACCCGAAACCAGGUGAUCUACCCUUGGUCAGGUUGAAGUUCAGGUAACACUGAAUGGAGGACCGAACCGACUUACGUUGAAAAGUGAGCGGAUGAACUGAGGGUAGCGGAGAAAUUCCAAUCGAACCUGGAGAUAGCUGGUUCUCUCCGAAAUAGCUUUAGGGCUAGCCUCAAGUGAUGAUUAUUGGAGGUAGAGCACUGUUUGGACGAGGGGCCCCUCUCGGGUUACCGAAUUCAGACAAACUCCGAAUGCCAAUUAAUUUAACUUGGGAGUCAGAACAUGGGUGAUAAGGUCCGUGUUCGAAAGGGAAACAGCCCAGACCACCAGCUAAGGUCCCAAAAUAUAUGUUAAGUGGAAAAGGAUGUGGCGUUGCCCAGACAACUAGGAUGUUGGCUUAGAAGCAGCCAUCAUUUAAAGAGUGCGUAAUAGCUCACUAGUCGAGUGACACUGCGCCGAAAAUGUACCGGGGCUAAACAUAUUACCGAAGCUGUGGAUUGUCCUUUGGACAAUGGUAGGAGAGCGUUCUAAGGGCGUUGAAGCAUGAUCGUAAGGACAUGUGGAGCGCUUAGAAGUGAGAAUGCCGGUGUGAGUAGCGAAAGACGGGUGAGAAUCCCGUCCACCGAUUGACUAAGGUUUCCAGAGGAAGGCUCGUCCGCUCUGGGUUAGUCGGGUCCUAAGCUGAGGCCGACAGGCGUAGGCGAUGGAUAACAGGUUGAUAUUCCUGUACCACCUAUAAUCGUUUUAAUCGAUGGGGGGACGCAGUAGGAUAGGCGAAGCGUGCGAUUGGAUUGCACGUCUAAGCAGUAAGGCUGAGUAUUAGGCAAAUCCGGUACUCGUUAAGGCUGAGCUGUGAUGGGGAGAAGACAUUGUGUCUUCGAGUCGUUGAUUUCACACUGCCGAGAAAAGCCUCUAGAUAGAAAAUAGGUGCCCGUACCGCAAACCGACACAGGUAGUCAAGAUGAGAAUUCUAAGGUGAGCGAGCGAACUCUCGUUAAGGAACUCGGCAAAAUGACCCCGUAACUUCGGGAGAAGGGGUGCUCUUUAGGGUUAACGCCCAGAAGAGCCGCAGUGAAUAGGCCCAAGCGACUGUUUAUCAAAAACACAGGUCUCUGCUAAACCGUAAGGUGAUGUAUAGGGGCUGACGCCUGCCCGGUGCUGGAAGGUUAAGAGGAGUGGUUAGCUUCUGCGAAGCUACGAAUCGAAGCCCCAGUAAACGGCGGCCGUAACUAUAACGGUCCUAAGGUAGCGAAAUUCCUUGUCGGGUAAGUUCCGACCCGCACGAAAGGCGUAACGAUUUGGGCACUGUCUCAACGAGAGACUCGGUGAAAUCAUAGUACC